GAGUUUGAUCAUGGCUCAGGAUGAACGCUAGCGGCAGGCUUAACACAUGCAAGUCGAGGGGUAACAGGGUAGCAAUAUCGCUGACGACCGGCGCACGGGUGAGUAACGCGUAUGCAACCUUCCUUUAACUGGGGGAUAGCCCGGAGAAAUUCGGAUUAAUACCCCAUAACAUCAUGAGAAGGCAUCUUUUUAUGAUUAAAGCUCCGGCGGUUAAAGAUGGGCAUGCGUGCCAUUAGCUUGUUGGUGAGGUAACGGCUCACCAAGGCUACGAUGGUUAGGGGGUCUGAGAGGAUGAUCCCCCACACUGGUACUGAGACACGGACCAGACUCCUACGGGAGGCAGCAGUGAGGAAUAUUGGGCAAUGGGCGCAAGCCUGACCCAGCCAUGCCGCGUGAAGGAUGAAUGCCCUAUGGGUUGUAAACUUCUUUUGUACGAGACGAAACUCCUGGCCGUGACCGGGAUUGACUGUACCGUGCGAAUAAGCAUCGGCUAACUCCGUGCCAGCAGCCGCGGUAAUACGGAGGAUGCAAGCGUUAUCCGGAUUCAUUGGGUUUAAAGGG
rnacentral:rRNA from 1 species